GAAAAGCUGCCAGACACGAAGUCCCAGAUGCUCCCAGGGACGCCAUUCAAGCCUGAGAGGGAGUUGGAACAGAAAAGGUACAAAACCACAGUUCUAGGGGCUG